UGGAUCAGCUAGGGGAGCGAAAAUUGCUGAGAGGGCAGGAAUCACUGCCGACCCUUGAACCUGAUCCGGGUAAUACUGGCGAAGGAAAGCAUCUAGCGAACAUC
rnacentral:ncRNA from 2 species